GAAUAUUGGACAAUGGGCGAAAGCCUGAUCCAGCCAUGCCGCGUGUGUGAAGAAGGUCUUCGGAAUGUAAAGCAGUUUAAGGUGGGAGGAAGGGCAGUAAGCGAACACGUUGCUGUUUUGACGAUACGGACAGAAUAAGCACCGGACACGUCGGUGCCAGCAGCCGCGGUAAUACAGGGGGUGCAAGUGUUAUUCGGAAUUACUGGGCGUAAAGCGCGCGUAGGGGGGUCGUUAAGUUGGAUGUGAAAUCCCCGGGCUCAACCUGGGGACUGCAUCAAAAACUGGCGAGCUAGAGUAGGGCAGAGGGUGGUGGAAGUUCCUGUGUAGCGGUGAAAUGCGUAGAUAUAGGAAGGAACACCAGUGGCGAAGGCGACCACCUGGGCUCAUACUGACACUGAGGUGCGAAAGCGUGGGGAGCAAACA
rnacentral:rRNA from 1 species